AUCAAAACUAUUCAUAAUUUUAGAUCGUCAUGUGAUUUGUGCUGAAUUUCGAUUCAAUCCCAGUUUUGAGUCCUGUAAUCGUAACUCAAGUUUAUUAGUUACUACAUAUAGAAGCUCGUACUAGCAUUUUUCUUGUACUGGUAUAUUACCAUCACAGUACUACCAUAUUUUUGUCGGCAUCACUGGGCACAGUUGGGAAGAGGUACACAGAUACAGGAGGCUCCUCACCAUCCCAAUAUCUAUUCAACCCUAUAUACAUAAUGUUUAUAUUUUUAAAAAUUUAGAAUAAUAUUUUUGUAUUUACUUCUUCCAGUAGAUCGUUGAAUGUUACAACUGCUACCAGUACUAGGAUCUGAAUGAGGACCAUGUUGGGGUCUUUUGCUGGAACCACUUAUACUUGAUGAUGGUGGCUGAUAUAUGGUAGUCGGCAGGGCUGUCUGGUCCCAGUGGUGGCGGUUCUUGGGCUGGUUUUCUGUGUAGUAGUGAGGGCUAUUCCCUUGCCACUAUCACUUAUUACCUGCCUGACAGCAUCAUUGACCGUGUUUCUUAGGCUGUUGGCAGAUUUUUCAGAAUAUACAAUAUAAUAUUUGAUAAUAAUGUAAAAUUAUUACUUCAAGUCAAUUAUACCGUUUCUCUCCUUGCUAGGUGUACUUGUAGGUUAACUUUCUCACCUUUGCUAAUUUUAA
rnacentral:lncRNA from 1 species